rnacentral:rRNA from 1 species
UACGGAGGGUGCGAGCGUUGUCCGGAAUCAUUGGGCGUAAAGGGCGCGUAGGUGGCCCGGUCAGCGUGCGGUGAAAGCUCGGGGCUCAACCCCGAGUCGGCCGUGCGAACUGCUGGGCUCGAGCACUGUAGAGGCAGGCGGAAUUCCGGGUGUAGCGGUGGAAUGCGUAGAGAUGUGGAAGAACACCGAUGGCGAAGGCAGCCUUCUGGGCCAACACUGACGCUCAUGCACGAAAGCGUGGGGAGCAAACAGG